UACGUAGGGUGCAAGCGUUGUCCGGAAUUAUUGGGCGUAAAGAGCUCGUAGGCGGUGUGUCGCGUCGGCCGUGAAAACCUGGGGCUUAACUCUGGGCUUGCGGUCGAUACGGGCAUCACUGGAGUUCGGCAGGGGAGACUGGAAUUCCUGGUGUAGCGGUGAAAUGCGCAGAUAUCAGGAGGAACACCGGUGGCGAAGGCGGGUCUCUGGGCCGAUACUGACGCUGAGGAGCGAAAGCGUGGGGAGCGAACAGG
rnacentral:rRNA from 1 species